rnacentral:rRNA from 1 species
AUUGAACGCUGGCGGCAUGCCUUACACAUGCAAGUCGAACGGCAGCACGGGAGCAAUCCUGGUGGCGAGUGGCGAACGGGUGAGUAAAGUAUCGGAACGUGCCCAGUCGUGGGGGAUAACGUAGCGAAAGUUACGCUAAUACCGCAUACGAUCUAUGGAUGAAAGCGGGGGAUCGCAAGACCUCGCGCGAUUGGAGCGGCCGAUAUCAGAUUAGGUAGUUGGUGGGGUAAAGGCUCACCAAGCCGACGAUCUGUAGCUGGUCUGAGAGGACGACCAGCCACACUGGGACUGGGAACCGGCCCAGGAUCCUACGGGAGGCAGCAGUGGGGAAUUUUGGACAAUGGGCGCAAGCCUGAUCCAGCCAUGCCGCGUGCAGGAUGAAGGCCUUCGGGUUGUAAACCGCUUUUGUACGGAACGAAAAGGUUUGACUUAAUACGUUGGACUCAUGACGGUACCGUAAGAAUAAGCACCGGCUAACUACGUGCCAGCCGCCGCCGUAA